GCCUGGGUGGCUCAAUAGUUUAAGCAUCUGACUUCAGCUCAGGUCAUGAUCUCAUGGCUCAUGAGUUCGAGUCCCAUGUCAGGCU
rfam:Felis catus isolate Cinnamon breed Abyssinian chromosome X, whole genome shotgun sequence.